rnacentral:rRNA from 1 species
UACGUAGGGGGCAAGCGUUGUCCGGAAUCAUUGGGCGUAAAGCGCGUGUAGGCGGCCCGGUAAGUCCGCUGUGAAAGUCGGGGGCUCAACCCUCGAAUGCCGGUGGAUACUGUCGGGCUAGAGUACGGAAGAGGCGAGUGGAAUUCCUGGUGUAGCGGUGAAAUGCGCAGAUAUCAGGAGGAACACCAAUUGCGAAGGCAGCUCGCUGGGACGUUACUGACGCUGAGGAGCGAAAGCGUGGGGAGCGAACAGG